UACUGUUAAUUUCCACUUUUAUUUUGAUUAUACAUUUUAUUUCUACACAUAAGUGUCCAUAGAGAAAAUACAUUGUCUACAUGGUAUUCAUUCAUGUCUUCUCACACUAAGUGCUGAUUAUUAUAGAGCAUACAUUUUAGUACCAAAUAGAUUCAAUUAAGGCAAUUAAAAAAUAAAAGAGAGAUAGUAUAUUUUUGUAAAUCAGACCUCAUCAGAAAAUCAGAUUAACUGGAUUCUUCUGUACUAGAUAUAUAUACAUAUAUAUACAAGCAUGUAAAACAAAAAGCUAUUUUUCAUAAUACGAAUUCUUUUACAAAAAAAAAAAAAAAAAAAG